GACGAACGCUGGCGGCGUGCCUAAUACAUGCAAGUAGAACGCUGAAGAGAGGAGCUUGCUCUUCUUGGAUGAGUUGCGAACGGGUGAGUAACGCGUAGGUAACCUGCCUUGUAGCGGGGGAUAACUAUUGGAAACGAUAGCUAAUACCGCAUAACAAUGGAUGACACAUGUCAUUUAUUUGAAAGGGGCAAUUGUUCCACUACAAGAUGGACCUGCGUUGUAUUAGCUAGUAGGUGAGGUAAUGGCUCACCUAGGCGACGAUACAUAGCCGACCUGAGAGGGUGAUCGGCCACACUGGGACUGAGACACGGCCCAGACUCCUACGGGAGGCAGCAGUAGGGAAUCUUCGGCAAUGGGGGCAACCCUGACCGAGCAACGCCGCGUGAGUGAAGAAGGUUUUCGGAUCGUAAAGCUCUGUUGUAAGUCAAGAACGGGUGUGAGAGUGGAAAGUUCACACUGUGACGGUAGCUUAACAGAAAGGGACGGCUAACUACGUG
rnacentral:rRNA from 1 species